CGCUGCCGGAAGGCGAGAAGAAUCCCCCCUCCCCCUCCUGGCAGCUCCGCGCGCUCGGCUGCGUGCUGGGGGAGGGGGGGAGCGGCGGGUGCCGCUUUGACGGAAGCUGCGAGCUGGCGGGCGCUCCCGGUGUGCUGCAGGACGGCGUGGUGUAGUCGGGCUGCCGAUGGGCGCUGCGGCACCUCCCUGCCCCUCCCUGCCCCUCGCACUGUGACUCACCACCUAAGCAGCUCCGGGUUCCUCGCCGCGCCUCUCCCUUCCCCCAUCCCGAAGGCAGCGCCGCGCCACCCGGUGAUGCAGCAAAAAGCGGCGGCGGGACCGGGCCGCGCCUCGGGGAGCCUCGCACCGCGCUUGGACGUCCCCAGCCUGCCCGCCUGCCGGGGCCGCGUGGGGCUGCCUCGGCCCCCUCCCUGCUCCCGCUCGGUCCCGCUGCCCUCCGGCGGGCGCUCCGCACAACGGCUCGGAAGCGGGGCCGGGGGCUGAGCGGAACGGGGUCGGGGCGAGGCGGGCAGCGCGCGGAGCGGCGGCCGCCAUCUUGACGGGGCAGCGGGCGCGGGGCCGGCGGCAGCGCGACGAAAUGGUGGACGCGGCGCCGUGGCGCCCAGGGCUGCCGCUGCGCCCGGCGGUAAACGGGGACUGUGAUGGUUUCCACAUUGUAAGCGAAAGCUACGAGAGGGAUUUUCUUUGAAACGCUGAAUUAUUAAAACAAAUCUACUCAGAUACACGCGUCGCUAUGGUGAUAUUACCAACUAGUUCAGUACUCGGCGAGGAUGGGGGUACCUAAAUGCAAUCCCUUUGCUUCGGGUCUAUGCAACGGAAUUAGCAACGAAGCGUUACACCAAACCCGCUUCUAUGUGAGCACCCGUGGGGCACGAGGCCUAACGCGGCGUUACCCGUAGUUACUCAGUGCGUGCGUUAUCCCCGUUGGGUCGAAAACGCCCACUGAGGUCGUGCUGACAGCCGCUCCUACCGGCACGGCAGCUCACACGGAGCUGAAAUGGGGCGCUGCGGCUGAGCAUCGCCUGGAGCUGUGUACGUUCUGUCUUACAGCACUACGGCUGGGUUUGCUCUAAGAGGACAACGUGUGUCCUCUCUUCUUUGCACGGCCUUUACAUCGCCUGGUUUUAUUUCUGUUUCCCCUGCUGUGUUUCUAUGCGUUACAUUAUGUCGACAGGUUUUGAACCCCUGCAUUAAAACUAAAAGAAUAGAAAUCCACGGUGAGAAAGAAUGCAGAAAGAAAAUCACACGUCCUCCAAUUUUUUCUCACCAGCUUAUUAAUUUCUUCAAAACAGAAGGUGGCUUCUAUGUGAGUCUUUAUGAUAGGAAUCCAUGAUUGUAUGAUUCCAUGGCUCAGGAAUUUUAGAUUUACAAAACAAUUGUAAUAACUUCUCUAAACUUUUCCAGCUGGUUGUACUUCUAGUGCUGUCUGUGAGAUCGGGAAACCCACACUUAGCAUUAGCAGUAAUCUGCAGACUUAAUGUCAUACAAAGUUCUGUCACCGAUACAGUCAGUGAAUUCCCUUGAAGAAAUCAAAACUGCUUGCUUUAUUUGGAGCAACUUCGAAUCACACAAUGGACUCUCCCUGAGCUGACAUGGAAGUAGGGAACAACUGAGUGAAAAUGUAUUACUCAAGAGUUACUGCUGGUGACAAAACAAAUGAUCAUCCACUAUAAUAACUUGACAGAACUACUUGCAAAUAAUUCUGGAAUGCUUGGAGACUGAACAAAUGCAAUGUAAGUCAGUGAUUUUUAGUCUAUUUAACACAGUACAACUAGAAACACAGACUCUUUGGCAAUGCUAUUUGUGUCAAAAUCAAAUCUGAAACUCCUGUUUUUCUCUCUUCUUUCUUUUCUUUUUUUUUUUUUUAAUGCCUCUCCGGUCGUUAGACUGAAAGUCAGGAAAACAAUACUUGUGGAAACUGGGGAAGUGAAAACUGCUAGAAAAGGUUGAGCAGAACCAGUGGAAUUCCUCUGGAGACACCAGCUUGCUUCCCUUUAUGCC
rnacentral:lncRNA from 1 species